rnacentral:tRNA from 1 species
CGGAAUGUGUGUGUGAUCCCUAGCAUGGGGUGCAAGGGGUCGCGAGUUCGAAUCCCGCCAUUCCGACCA